rnacentral:lncRNA from 1 species
UAAGGUGGACUUAAAUAGGCUUUGAGAGAAAUUUAUUUCCCUUUCCUAGAAGGAUCUAAUUUCCUAUUAAAAAGAGAAUCUACAUCAAAAUAUGAAGCAGUCAUAAGUUUCCUAAAGCAAGAAGAUCUCUACACCUGCUGCCCUUUUUUGCGAGCAGCUCAACAGGUGUGGGGGCAUUUGUGGAGCCAAAAAUAUUCACAAGGCGACACGUGGAUUUUUGGACAAAAAGGACAAAAAUACCCUUACAGUACAACGAGGUUCCUACGCACAAGCAGCGGGCAACCCUCUUUCAACCAAGACAGAAGUGCCCAAAAUAGGUAACAAUU